CAGUCGCCGCGGUAAUACGAAGGGUGCAAGCGUUAAUCGGAAUUACUGGGCGUAAAGCGUGCGUAGGCGGAUCGAUCAGUCAGGGGUGAAAUCCCAGAGCUCAACUCUGGAACUGCCUUUGAUACUGUCGAUCUGGAGUAUGGAAGAGGUGAGUGGAAUUCCGAGUGUAGAGGUGAAAUUCGUAGAUAUUCGGAGGAACACCAGUGGCGAAGGCGGCUCACUGGUCCAUUACUGACGCUGAGGUGCGAAAGCGUGGGGAGCAAACAGGAUUAGAUACCCCGGUAGUCCCUGUCUCUUAUAC
rnacentral:rRNA from 1 species